AGCAGCCGCGGUAAUUCCAGCUCCAAUAGCGUAUAUUAAAGUUGUUGCAGUUAAAAAGCUCGUAGUUGAAUUUCGAGACCGGUCUACUGGUCGUGCUUUUGUACGUACUGGUUUUAUUGGUUUCUCCUUUCUGACGAACUAUAAUGCCAUUAAUUUGGUGUUAUGGGGAAUCAGGACUGUUACUUUGAAAAAUUAGAGUGUUUAAAGCAGGCUCACGCUUGAAUACAUUAGCAUGGAAUAACGAAAUAGGACGUUUGAUUUUAUUUUGUUGGUUUUUAGGAUCGACGUAAUGAUUAAUAGGGAUAGUUGGGGGCAUUAGUAUUCAAUUGUCAGAGGUGAAAUUCUUGGAUUUAUUGAAGACUAACUACUGCGAAAGCAUUUGCCAAGGAUGUUUUCAUUAAUC
rnacentral:rRNA from 1 species